rfam:Stegodyphus mimosarum contig65331, whole genome shotgun sequence.
GCCUUUGUGGUGUAAUGGUCAGCACACUGAGCCGGUAUUUCAGAGGUCCGCGGUUCGAUCCCCGGCGAAGGCA